UCUCCGUUGGUGAACCAGCGGAGGGAUCAUUACAGGACUCGCAAGACUCCUACAACCCUGUGAACUUAACUAUAAGCACGUUGCUUCGGCGGGUGUCUCGGAGAGGGUUCUCCCUCCCCGGGGCGCUAAGCCCGCCGGCAGCCUACUAUACUCUGUCUCUUUGCGUUGGCAUCUCGAGUACAAACAAACAAGUUAAAACUUUCAACAACGGAUCUCUUGGUUCUGGCAUUGAUGAAGAACGCAGC
rnacentral:misc_RNA from 1 species